GCANGGCGGGGCGACCCGCCCUAGAGCGGCGGACUGGUGAGUAACGCGUGGGUAAUCUACCUUGGGCAUGGGGAUAGCCAUUAGAAAUAGUGGGUAAUACCGAAUACGCUCGCGGGGGGAAGGGUCCUGUGAGGAAAGGGUGCUACGGCACCGGCCUGAGAUGAGCUCGCGUCCCAUUAGCUAGUUGGUGAGGUAAGGGCCCACCAAGGCGAUGAUGGGUAGCCGGCCUGAGAGGGUGUACGGCCACACUGGGACUGAGAUACGGCCCAGACUCCUACGGGAGGCAGCAGCUAANAAUAUUCCGCAAUGGACGAAAGUCUGACGGAGCGACNCCGCGUGGAUGAAGAAGGCCGAAAGGUUGUAAAGUUCUUUUGCGAGGGAAGAAUAACCGCAGGAGGGAAUGCCUGUGGGAUGACAUGAACUUGCGAAUAAGCCCCGGCCAACUACGUGCCAGCAGCCGCGGUAACACGUAGGGGGCGAGCGUUGUUCGGAAUUACUGGGCGUAAAGGGCAUGUAGGCGGUCUGGUAAGCCUGGCGUGAAAGACCACAGCUUAACUGUGGGGUUGCGUUGGGAACUGCUGGGCUUGAGUGACGGAAAGGGAGCUGGAAUUCCUGGUGUAGGGGUGAAAUCUGUANAUAUCAGGAANAACACCGAUGGCGAANGCAACCUCCUG
rnacentral:rRNA from 1 species